UACGGAGGGGGCUAGCGUUGUUCGGAAUUACUGGGCGUAAAGCGCACGUAGGCGGCUUUGUAAGUUAGAGGUGAAAGCCCGGGGCUCAACUCCGGAAUUGCCUUUAAGACUGCAUCGCUAGAAUUGUGGAGAGGUAAGUGGAAGUUCCGAGUGUAGAGGUGAAAUUCGUAGAUAUUCGGAAGAACACCAGUGGCGAAGGCGACUUACUGGACACAUAUUGACGCUGAGGUGCGAAAGCGUGGGGGAGCAAACAGG
rnacentral:rRNA from 1 species